CCCUUAGAUGUUCUGGGCCGCACGCGCGCUACACUGUUCGACGCAGCGAGUCUUAACCUUGACCGAAAGGUUUGGGUAAUCUUCAGCAAAGUCGAACGUGAUGGGGAUCGAUCAUUGCAAUUAUUGAUCGUGAACGAGGAAUUCCUAGUAAGUGCAAGUCAUCAGCUUGCGCUGAUUACGUCCCUGCCCUUUGUACACACCGCCCGUCGCUACUACCGAUUGAAUGGUUUAGUGAGAUCUCUGGAUUGACGCUUGCUAGGGGGCGACCCUUGGCCAGACUGUUGAGAAACUGCUCAAACUUGAUCAUUUAGAGGAAGUAAAAGUCGUAACA
rnacentral:rRNA from 1 species